GGGGACGACCUGGUUUCGACAGGGGUUGCAAAGCAGAGCAGGGCAUACCGAGGCCAGACUACCUCGUAAAUACAAUCUGAACUAUAUAACUGCAAACGAUAACUCGUACGCAUUAGCAGCUUAAUCGCUCGCUAACUCUUAACCGCUUCUUCCCUAGGGCGGGCUGGUAACAGCUUAGAGUCAUUUAUAGGGAAUCGUCUUAAGUUGGGUUACU
rnacentral:tmRNA from 1 species